rnacentral:rRNA from 1 species
UACGUAGGGUCCGAGCGUGUCCGGAAUUAUUGGGCGUAAAGGGCUCGUAGGCGGUCUGUCGCGUCGGGAGUGAAAUUUUACAGCUUAACUGUGAACGUGCUUUCGAUACGGGCAGACUAGAGUGCGGUAGGGGAGACUGGAAUUCCUGGUGUAGCGGUGAAAUGCGCAGAUAUCAGGAGGAACACCGAUGGCGAAGGCAGGUCUCUGGGCUGGUAACUGACGCUGAGGAGCGAAAGCAUGGGGAGCGAACAGG